rnacentral:rRNA from 1 species
UACAGAGGUCCCAAGCGUUGUUCGGAUUCAUUGGGCGUAAAGGGUGCGUAGGUGGCGCCAUAAGUCAGGUGUGAAAUUUCGGAGCUUAACUCCGAAACUGCAUUUGAUACUGUGGUGCUUGAGGACUGGAGAGGAGACUGGAAUUUACGGUGUAGCAGUGAAAUGCGUAGAGAUCGUAAGGAAGACCAGUGGCGAAGGCGGGUCUCUGGACAGUUCCUGACGCUGAGGCACGAAGGCCAGGGGAGCAAACGGG